GUUUCAGAUUUUUACCACUAAUCCUCUCAUUUAUUGAUGAUUUCUCUCCAGUCUCCGCGAAUGUAUAAAAAUCCUUUCCACAAUCCUAUUUGGAGACAUCUUCGGCUUCCAUGAUUGGGAAGGACUUUGGCUCGGUGAUUUUUGUUUUGAAGCCAUGGUUGGAAGAUCUGCAGGAUACGGGGUGAACGGGAGGAUGAAAUCGAAUUUCUGAGUUCGUGGAAAUCUUACCAGAGAUGCGUUAGAUUGAAUCAAUAAUAUUGUUUCAUCCAUGGGUGAAUCCAAGUCGGGUCUUUUGUUCUGAAAAGCAACAAAGUCCCGGCUCUUGCGUAUUCUUACGUGUCUUCUCAAAAAGAUUAUCCAGAUUAUGUUGUAGAUCUCUAAUUGUUAGAUCCAAUGGUACUGUGCAACAUGUGAAACCAAUUGAAGUUCUAUAUCUGCAAUUUGUAUAUAUUUGAUUCAUCAAUUGUUUUUGAGUAAAGCUAAAUCGUAGCUUGAACAGUUUGUAUUUUGGACUUCAGGUGCUCACCAAUCAGUAUAUGCUCCAAAUUAAUCUUGGGAGGAUAUUAUACGUAGCAUAAUUUUCCUAAAUGUAAAACUCUUUUUAUUGAACUUCUAUUCUCAGUCUGGAAAUCAUUAUGGUUUUACACUUAAUACAGUUCUAAAACUCCAUGGUUUGUUAGGAGAAGCUUCUUUAUAUAUGCAGUUUACACUGCUUGGGCCAAACAAUUUAAAUAUGGUGAAUAAGUCAUUGUCAUCAACCAUAACCACCUUUUUUGUAGCUAUGUCGUUUCUUCAGAAUGUGGUUCACAGAAGAAAGGUGCAUGCUUGAGUUCUCACUGAUCAUCCAAUAUUGCUGAAUAGAGUUUUAAUCUAGGAAGCAAUGGUACAAUAAAACACUUCCAACAGCCUCCACAGUGAUAACAAAAGUCUCAAUAACAAGAUAUGAGAAAUCACAAAGCAUACAAAAGACGGUGAAAACCUUUAAAGCUUCCCUAUAUAUGUAGAUGUAUGUGACAGAUUGUUCUAUUAUGUUUUUUUUCUUCGAAGAAGUUCGAGGAUGAUGAAAGAAGCAAGAAGAGCUGGUCACAUUUUGAGGACAUGAACAACAUUUUGUACGAGUUAAGUCAUAAUGCGCCAACACUCACUGUUUAAAAGAGAACUUUAACGUAGUGGACAGAACUAUGAGAUCCAAAAAGCAAUGAAAAUAGUCUCUGUAGAGUGUAAGAAGGGGCAAGUGAUUGUGCCAGUGAUGGAAGGAGCAGGGAUUCCAUAGCCGUGGACCAUGCACGUACUGACAAGAACGAGUAAGAAUGAUUUUUUUUGCUAGAGGAACUUUUUUCUAACCAUCGCAUGGUCUGUGUUGCAAAAGUAUGCUCAAAAUGUAGUACGUUAUUAGCUCUUCACUGUACGGUGUUGGUUUGGGAUAGUGUUCAC